CCGAGUUUACAACUCCCAAACCCCUGUGAACAUACCUAAAUUGUUGCCUCGGCGGACCACCCUCCCGGUAAAACCUCGGGACGGGCCCGCCAGAGGACCCCUAACCAACUCUGUUUCUUAUGUACUUACUAAACGAACCUAUGAGGAUAUAAAUCAAUC
rnacentral:misc_RNA from 1 species